rnacentral:rRNA from 1 species
UUAACGAACGAGACCCCCGCCUGCUAAAUAGUUCGGGGCUUACGCUUCUGCGUAGGUGCUCGCUUCUUAGAGGGACUUUCGGUGCCUAACCGAAGGAAGUUGGGG